UACGAAGGGGGCUAGCGUUGCUCGGAAUUAUUGGGCGUAAAGCGCACGUAGGCGGCUUUUUAAGUCAGGGGUGAAAUCCUGGAGCUCAACUCCAGAACUGCCUUUGAUACUGAGAAGCUUGAGUCCGGGAGAGGUGAGUGGAACUGCGAGUGUAGAGGUGAAAUUCGUAGAUAUUCGCAAGAACACCAGUGGCGAAGGCGGCUCACUGGCCCGGUACUGACGCUGAGGUGCGAAAGCGUGGGGAGCAAACAGG
rnacentral:rRNA from 1 species